UACAGAGGGGGCGAGCGUUUGUUCGGAAUUACUGGGCGUAAAGGGCGCGUAGGCGGCCAACUAAGUCAGACGUGAAAUCCCUCGGCUCAACCGGGGAACUGCGUCUGAUACUGGAUGGCUUGAAUUCGGGAGAGGGGAUGCGGAAUUCCAGGUGUAGCAGUGAAAUGCGUAGAUAUCUGGAGGAACACCGGUGGCGAAGGCGGCAUCCUGGACCGAGAUUGACGCUGAUGGCGCGAAAGCCAGGGGAGCAAACGGG
rnacentral:rRNA from 1 species